AGAAAAGUAGGUGCUGCCCCGCACAGGGGCAACGCUAAUAGACCGACACGACAACAAGGAAAUGCCAACACAACAAUCCACCCAGCAUAAC
rnacentral:sRNA from 2 species